rnacentral:miRNA from 1 species
CCCUCCCCACCCAUGCUGCUGCCUCUGUAUCAGAGGCAGUAGCACCCGGGAGGGGAGGGAGAGGGGGAAGAGGAAGGGUAGG